AGCUUUGCGCAGUGGCAGUAUCGUAGCCAAUGAGGUUUAUCCGAGGCGCGAUUAUUGCUAAUUGAAAUGCACAGCUCCAUAAUUCUUAUUUACUGUUGAGGGCCGCAGCAGAAAUUAACAUGUCUCAGUCCAAGGCU